rnacentral:lncRNA from 1 species
CUGGGCCCAGGCGGGCGGGGACAGAAUGGCAGCCACUUCCCUUUCAGCCUUUAUUUUAUUUAUUUAUUUAAUUUUUUUUUUGGUACCGGGGAUCGAACUCGGGUCCUUGCACUGGCGAGGCAGGUGGCGUAAUUACUGAGCUAAAUCCCGUUUUUCAGCCUUUAAAUCAGCAGAUCCACAGAAGGGAUCUGGAAGCCGCCUUCAUCAUCAGGAUUGAGAACAAAGCACAGGCGCUGGUGUUGGCCUGCCUGGCGCGGCUGCUGGGGUCCGGAGAUCAGGAAGGAGGAGCUGAGGAGAGGACCGAGGAUCCCCAGGACUCCCCGGUGCUUCCCUACCCCGCUGGAAAAGGCCUG